rnacentral:rRNA from 1 species
CCUACGGGUGGCUGCAGUGGGGAAUAUUGCGCAAUGGGCGAAAGCCUGACGCAGCGACGCCGCGUGAGGGAUGAAGGACUUCGGAUCGUAAACCUCUGUCAGCAGGGAAGAACGGUCACUUACCUAAUCAGCAGUGAAUUGCCGGUACCUGCAAAGGAAGCACCGUCUAACUCCGUGCCAGCAGCCGCGGUAAGACGGAGGGUGCGAGCGUUAAUCGGAAUUACUGGGCGUAAAGCGCUCGUAGGCGGUAUGUCAAGUACAGGGUGAAAUCCCCGGGCUCAACGUGGGAACUGCCUUUGAAACUGGCAGGCUGGAGUGUGUGAGAGGAAAGUGGAAUUCCAGGUGUAGGAGUGAAAUGCGUAGAUAUCAGGAGGAACAUCAGUGGCGAAGGCGACUUUCUGGCACAUAACUGACGCUGAGGAGCGAAAGCGUGGGUAGCAAACAGGAUUAGAUACCCCUGUAGUC